UACGUAGGUGGCAAGCGUUAUCCGGAUUUACUGGGUGUAAAGGGCGCGCAGGCGGUCCUGAAAGUCAGAUGUGAAAGAUCAAGGCUUAACUUUGACAGGUCAUCUGAAACUUUGGGACUUGAGUAUCAGAGGGGAAAGUGGAAUUCCUGGUGGAGCGGUAAAAUGCGCAGAGAUCAGGAGGAACACCGGUGGCGAAGGCGACUUUCUGGCUGACAACUGACGCUGAGGCGCGAAAGCGUGGGGAUCAAACAGGAUUAGAUACCCU
rnacentral:rRNA from 1 species